CUGGUCUUGACAUCCACAGAACUUUCCAGAGAUGGAUUGGUGCCUUCGGGAACUGUGAGACAGGUGCUGCAUGGCUGUCGUCAGCUCGUGUUGUGAAAUGUUGGGUUAAGUCCCGCAACGAGCGCAACCCUUAUCCUUUGUUGCCAGCGGUUAGGCCGGGAACUCAAAGGAGACUGCCAGUGAUAAACUGGAGGAAGGUGGGGAUGACGUCAAGUCAUCAUGGCCCUUACGACCAGGGCUACACACGUGCUACAAUGGCGCAUACAAAGAGAAGCAAACUCGCGAGAGCAAGCGGACCUCAUAAAGUGCGUCGUAGUCCGGAUUGGAGUCUGCAACUCGACUCCAUGAAGUCGGAAUCGCUAGUAAUCGUGAAUCAGAAUGUCACGGUGAAUACGUUCCC
rnacentral:rRNA from 1 species